AGAGUUUGAUCCUGGCUCAGGAUGAACGCUAGCGACAGGCUUAACACAUGCAAGUCGAGGGGCAGCAUGGUUUGUAGCAAUACAGAUUGAUGGCGACCGGCGCACGGGUGAGUAACGCGUAUGCAACUUACCUAUCAGAGGGGGAUAACCCGGCGAAAGUCGGACUAAUACCGCAUGAAGCAGGGGCCCCGCAUGGGGAUAUUUGCUAAAGAUUCAUCGCUGAUAGAUAGGCAUGCGUUCCAUUAGGCAGUUGGCGGGGUAACGGCCCACCAAACCGACGAUGGAUAGGGGUUCUGAGAGGAAGGUCCCCCACAUUGGUACUGAGACACGGACCAAACUCCUACGGGAGGCAGCAGUGAGGAAUAUUGGUCAAUGGCCGAGAGGCUGAACCAGCCAAGUCGCGUGAAGGAAGAAGGAUCUAUGGUUUGUAAACUUCUUUUAUAGGGGAAUAAAGUGGAGGACGUGUCCUUUUUUGUAUGUACCCUAUGAAUAAGCAUCGGCUAACUCCGUGCCAGCAGCCGCGGUAAUACGGAGGAUGCGAGCGUUAUCCGGAUUUAUUGGGUUUAAAGGGUGCGUAGGUGGUGAUUUAAGUCAGCGGUGAAAGUUUGUGGCUCAACCAUAAAAUUGCCGUUGAAACUGGGUUACUUGAGUGUGUUUGAGGUAGGCGGAAUGCGUGGUGUAGCGGUGAAAUGCAUAGAUAUCACGCAGAACUCCGAUUGCGAAGGCAGCUUACUAAACCAUAACUGACACUGAAGCACGAAAGCGUGGGGAUCAAACAGGAUUAGAUACCCUGGUAGUCCACGCAGUAAACGAUGAUUACUAGGAGUUUGCGAUACAAUGUAAGCUCUACAGCGAAAGCGUUAAGUAAUCCACCUGGGGAGUACGCCGGCAACGGUGAAACUCAAAGGAAUUGACGGGGGCCCGCACAAGCGGAGGAACAUGUGGUUUAAUUCGAUGAUACGCGAGGAACCUUACCCGGGCUUAAAUUGCAGAUGAAUUACGGUGAAAGCCGUAAGCCGCAAGGCAUCUGUGAAGGUGCUGCAUGGUUGUCGUCAGCUCGUGCCGUGAGGUGUCGGCUUAAGUGCCAUAACGAGCGCAACCCUUAUCACUAGUUACUAACAGGUGAAGCUGAGGACUCUGGUGAGACUGCCAGCGUAAGCUGUGAGGAAGGUGGGGAUGACGUCAAAUCAGCACGGCCCUUACAUCCGGGGCGACACACGUGUUACAAUGGCGUGGACAAAGGGAAGCCACCUGGCGACAGGGAGCGAAUCCCCAAACCACGUCUCAGUUCGGAUCGGAGUCUGCAACCCGACUCCGUGAAGCUGGAUUCGCUAGUAAUCGCGCAUCAGCCAUGGCGCGGUGAAUACGUU
rnacentral:rRNA from 1 species